GAAAUGCGAUAAUUAAUGUGAAUUGCAGAAUUCAGUGAAUCAUCGAGUCUUUGAACGCACAUUGCACCCCCUGGUAUUCCGGGGGGUAUGCCUGUCCGAGCGUCAUUGCUGCCCUCAAGCACGGCUUGUGUGUUGGGCCGUAAAGCCAGCGCUUUCUCGAAAGCACCCCAAAGGUUGACCUCGGAUCAGGUAGGACUACCCGCUGAACUUAA
rnacentral:misc_RNA from 1 species